AGAACGGGUUAUAGCUUGCUAUAACUGUCAGCUAAGUGGCGCACGGGUGAGUAAUGUAUAGAUAACGUGCCUCUUACAAGGGAAUAACAGUUGGAAACGACUGCUAAUGCCCUAUAUGCCUUUAUGUCAUAAGACAGCAAGGGAAAGUUUUUUCGGUAAGAGAUCGGUCUGUAUGGUAUCAGCUUGUUGGUGAGGUAAUGGCUCACCAAGGCAAUGACGCCUAACUGGUUUGAGAGGAUGAUCAGUCACACUGGAACUGAGACACGGUCCAGACUCCUACGGGAGGCAGCAGUGGGGAAUAUUGCACAAUGGACGAAAGUCUGAUGCAGCAACGCCGCGUGGAGGAUGACACAUUUCGGUGCGUAAACUCCUUUUAUAUAUGAAGAUAAUGACGGUAAUAUAUGAAUAAGCGCCGGCUAACUCCGUGCCAGCAGCCGCGGUAAUACGGAGGGCGCAAGCGUUACUCGGAAUCACUGGGCGUAAAGAGCGUGUAGGCGGGUAAAUAAGUUGGAAGUGAAAUCCUAUGGCUCAACCAUAGAACUGCUUCCAAAACUGUUAACCUAGAAUAUGGGAGAGGUAGAUGGAAUUUCUGGUGUAGGGGUAAAAUCCGUAGAGAUCAGAAGGAAUACCGAUUGCGAAGGCGAUCUACUGGAACAUUAUUGACGCUGAGACGCGAAAGCGUGGGGAGCAAACAGGAUUAGAUACCCUGGUAGUCCACGCCCUAAACGAUGUACACUAGUUGUUGCUAUGCUAGACAUAGCAGUAAUGCAGUUAACACAUUAAGUGUACCGCCUGGGGGAGUACGGUCGCAAGAUUAAAACUC
rnacentral:rRNA from 1 species